rnacentral:RNase_P_RNA from 1 species
GAAGCAAGCCAGACCGCCGCUGGUGCAACCGCCGAAAGGCCGCACUGGAGGAAGGUCCGGACUGCACAGGGCAGCGCAGGAGGUAACGCCUCUCCACCGUGAGGUGCGAAUCAGAGCCACAGAGACGAGUCCCAUGGGUGCAAGCCCAUGGGGGUGAAACGCGGCAAUCUUUGCGCGCAGCAACACCAAAUAGGCCGGCAUCGAUGCGGCCCGCGGAGCCGGCGGGUAGGUGGCACCGAGCCGGGCGAGCGAUCGCCUGGCCCAGAUGAAUGGCGGUCACGGCUGCGGCGCUUUCGGGCACCGCGGCUGCACAGAAUCCGGCCUAUCGGCUCGCUUCACAC